rnacentral:rRNA from 1 species
ACGCUCGACACCUACGGGAGGUAGCAGUGGGGAAUAUUGCACAAUGGAGGAAACCCUGAUGCAGCGACGCCGCGUGGAGGAAGAAGGUCUUCGGAUUGUAAACUCCUGUUGUUGGGGAAAAAGAGGAUGGUACCCAACAAGGAAGUGACGGCUAACUACGUUCCAGCAGCCGCGGUAAUCUGAGCGGGCUGGCAAGGC